CAGCAGUGAGGAAUAUUGGUCAAUGNNCUAACGGCUGAACUGGCAACUUGGAGAAGUGGCAAGUCUUCCAGUAUGGGGAGCAAAACAGCUAUGGGUCAAGUCCGAUAUCUUUAGGAGAAGUCUUAUUGUGAGGGCGAGUUUUAUAACACCAUAGGACUGGCCGUCCCAUAUGAAAAGAUUAUAUUAGAAUUGAAUGAAGCUUUGUUUAUAUAUUGAUAAUGACAGUAUAUAUAUCGUGUCUUGACUAAUUGCGUGCCAGCAGUCGCGGUAAUACGUAAGAGACUAGUGUUAUUCAUCUUAAUUAGGUUUAAAGGGUACCCAGACGGUCAAUAUAGCUUAUAAAAUGUUAGUACUUGACUAGAGUUUUAUGUAAGAGGGCAGUACUUGAGGAGGAGAGAUGAAAUUUCGUGAUACCAAAGGGACUCUGUAAAGGCGAAGGCAGCCCUCUAUGUAAAAACUGACGUUGAAGGACGAAGGCACAGAGAACAAACAGGAUUAGAUACCCAAGUAGUCUUUGCAGUAAAUGAUGAAUGCCAUAGGUUAGAUGGGUGGGUUAGUCGUAGUUGAGUUAGUUUAGCAAACUAAUGGAUUCAGACUAGUCCACCAUAUAUUUGGUCUAUAAAUGAAAGUGUAAGCAUUUCACCUCAAGAGUAAUGUGGCAACGCAGGAACUGAAAUCACUAGACCGUUUCUGACACCAGUAGUGAANNAUGUUAUUUAAUUCGAUGAUCCGC
rnacentral:rRNA from 2 species